rnacentral:lncRNA from 1 species
CUUUUAUAUCUACUGUUUAAAACCUGUGACAUUGUUCUACUUUAUUUUUUCUCCACAUCUCAUUUCCAGACUGCACACAUUCAGAGCAGAACCUCAAGAACCCAGCUGUGUGUCUAUGAAGAGCAACAACUCGAUGACUGAGCCUCUUAAAUUCAGUAAUGAAAGAAUGGGCGCUGACCUGAGACUCCAGACAUUCAGAGCAGAACCUCCAGAGCCCAGCUAUGUAUCUAUGAAGAGCAGCCACUCGAUGAUUGAGCCUCUUAAAUUCAGUAAUGAAAGAAUGGGUGCUGACCUGAGCUGUGGAAGGGAUAUGCGAUUCCAGGAUCAGUCCAGGUGUGGAGUGUGUGAGCAGAUUCAG